UACGGAGGGGGCUAGCGUUGUUCGGAAUUACUGGGCGUAAAGCGCACGUAGGCGGACUGGAAAGUCAGAGGUGAAAUCCCAGUGCUCAACCUAGGAACUGCCUUUGAAACUCCCGGUCUUGAGGUCGAGAGAGGUGAGUGGAAUUACGUGUGUAGAGGUGAAAUUCGUAGAUAUUCGGAGGAACACCAGUGGCGAAGGCGGCUCACUGGCUUGAUACUGACGCUGAGGUGCGAAAGCGUGGGGAGCAAACAGG
rnacentral:rRNA from 1 species